GAUGAACGCUGGCGGCGUGCCUAAUACAUGCAAGUCGAGCGAACGGACGAGAAGCUUGCUUCUCUGAUGUUAGCGGCGGACGGGUGAGUAACACGUGGAUAACCUACCUAUAAGACUGGGAUAACUUCGGGAAACCGGAGCUAAUACCGGAUAAUAUUUUGAACCGCAUGGUUCAAAAGUAAAAGACGGUCUUGCUGUCACUUAUAGAUGGAUCCGCGCUGCAUUAGCUAGUUGGUAAGGUAACGGCUUACCAAGGCAACGAUGCAUAGCCGACCUGAGAGGGUGAUCGGCAACACUGGAACUGAGACACGGUCCAGACUCCUACGGGAGGCAGCAGUAGGGAAUCUUCCGCAAUGGGCGAAAGCCUGACGGAGCAACGCCGCGUGAGUGAUGAAGGUCUUCGGAUCGUAAAACUCUGUUAUUAGGGAAGAACAUAUGUGUAAGUAACUGUGCACAUCUUGACGGUACCUAAUCAGAAAGCCACGGCUAACUACGUG
rnacentral:rRNA from 1 species